rnacentral:lncRNA from 1 species
GUUUUAAACCCUAAACUGAACUUUCCCUUUAGUCAGCAUUAGGGUUUUAAACCCUAAACUGAACUCUUUCUUUCAGUCAGCAUUAGGGUUUUAAACCCUAAACUGAACUUUUCCAUUCAGUCAGCAUUAGGGUUUUAAACCCUAAACUGAACUCUUUCCUUUAGUCAGCAUUAGGGUUUUAAACCCUAAACUGAACUUUUUCCAUUUAGUCAGCAUUAGGGUUUUAAACCCUAGACUGAACUUUUUCCAUCCAGUCAGUAUUAGGGUUUUAAACCCUAAACUGAACUUUUCCUUCAGCCAACAUUUGGGUUUUAAACCCUGAAAUGAACUUUUCUAGUUAGUCAGCAUUAGGGUUUUAAACCUUAAACUGAACUUUUUCCAGUCAGUCAGUAUUAGGGUUUUAAACCCUAAACUGAACUUUUCCAUUCAGUCAGUAUUAGGGCCCCAAUCCUAAACUGAACUUUUCCCCAGUUAGUCUGUAUUAGGGUUUCAACUCUAAACUGAACUUCUCCCCAGUUAUUCAGUAUUAGGGCUCCAACCCUGAACUGAGCAUUUUUACCUUAUGGCAAUAUUAGGGAUCCAAUCCCGAAGUUGCAUUUUGUGGUCCAAUCCCUUCAUCAACUUUGUAAACUUCCCUGCAACUAACUCACGAAAUUUUCCUAGUAGAACUGGGGCAGAAAAUUUCGUUCGUUUGUUUUUCCCCACAGGUCUGACCUCGAGACACAUGGAUGGAGACGACCCACAAGAUGAGUCUCAACUCAGAAUAAAAGAAGAAAAAGACAAAAAGAAGAUGUGCCGAGAUAUUCGGAAAGGCGAAGGGCGGAUCGUUCAAAGUUUUGAUCAAGGUCCCGAAUUCUACCAACCCCGUCUUACUCAGUGUC